AUUGAACGCUGGCGGCAUGCCUUACACAUGCAAGUCGAACGGCAGCACGGGUUCUUGCACCUGGUGGCGAGUGGCGAACGGGUGAGUAAUACAUCGGAACAUGUCCUGUAGUGGGGGAUAGCCCGGCGAAAGCCGGAUUAAUACCGCAUACGAUCUACGUAUGAAAGCGGGGGACCUUCGGGCCUCGCGCUAUAGGGUUGGCCGAUGUCUGAUUAGCUAGUUGGGGGGGUAAAGGCCUACCAAGGCGACGAUCAGUAGCUGGUCUGAGAGGACGACCAGCCACAUUGGGACUGAGACACGGCCCAGACUCCUACGGGAGGCAGCAGUGGGGAAUUUUGGACAAUGGGCGAAAGCCUGAUCCAGCAAUGCCGCGUGUGUGAAGAAGGCCUUCGGGUUGUAAAGCACUUUUGUCCGGAAAGACAUCCUUGGCCCUAAUACGGUCGGGGGAUGACGGUACCGGAAGAAUAAGCACCGGCUAACUACGUG
rnacentral:rRNA from 1 species